UACGUAGGGUGCAAGCGUUGUCCGGAAUUAUUGGGCGUAAAGAGCUCGUAGGCGGUCUGUCGCGUCUGCUGUGAAAACUCAGGGCUUAACCCUGAGCUUGCAGUGGGUACGGGCAGACUAGAGUGCGGUAGGGGAGACUGGAAUUCCUGGUGUAGCGGUGAAAUGCGCAGAUAUCAGGAGGAACACCGGUGGCGAAGGCGGUGGUCUGGGCCGGCACUGACGCUGAGGAGCGAAAGCGUGGGUAGCAAACAGG
rnacentral:rRNA from 1 species